UACAGAGGUGGCAAGCGUUGUUCGGAAUUACUGGGCGUAAAGGGCGAGUAGGUGGCCAUCUAAGUCAGACGUGAAAUCCCCCGGCUUAACCUGGGAACUGCGUCUGAUACUGGACGGCUUGAGUAUGGGAGAGGAACGUAGAAUUCCAGGUGUAGCGGUGAAAUGCGUAGAUAUCGGGAGGAACACCAGAGGCGAAGGCGGGUUACUGGGCUGAUACUGACGCUGAUGCGCGAAAGCCAGGGGAGCAAACGGG
rnacentral:rRNA from 1 species